GAUGAACGCUGGCGGCGUGCUUAACACAUGCAAGUCGAACGAAGCACCUUGAUUUGAUUCUUCGGAUGAAGAUCUUGGUGACUGAGAGGCGGACGGGUGAGUAACGCGUGGGUAACCUGCCUCAUACAGGGGGAUAACAGUUAGAAAUGACUGCUAAUACCGCAUAAGACCACAGCACCGCAUGGUGCAGGGGUAAAAACUCCGGUGGUAUGAGAUGGACCCGCGUCUGAUUAGGUAGUUGGUGGGGUAACGGCCUACCAAGCCGACGAUCAGUAGCCGACCUGAGAGGGUGACCGGCCACAUUGGGACUGAGACACGGCCCAAACUCCUACGGGAGGCAGCAGUGGGGAAUAUUGCACAAUGGGGGAAACCCUGAUGCAGCGACGCCGCGUGAGCGAUGAAGUAUUUCGGUAUGUAAAGCUCUAUCAGCAGGGAAGAAAAUGACGGUACCUGACUAAGAAGCACCGGCUAAAUACGUG
rnacentral:rRNA from 1 species